GGGUGAGUAACGCGUAAUCAACCUGCCCUUCAGAGGGGGAUAACAACGGGAAACCGUUGCUAAUACCGCGUACGAUUCACAGGUGGCAUCGCUUGUGAAUGAAAGGUGGCCUCUAUGUAUAAGCUAUCGCUGAAGGAGGGGAUUGCGUCUGAUUAGCUAGUUGGAGGGGUAACGGCCCACCAAGGCGAUGAUCAGUAGCCGGUCUGAGAGGAUGAACGGCCACAUUGGGACUGAGACACGGCCCAGACUCC
rnacentral:rRNA from 1 species